CCCGCCUCUUAUUUUCCCACUACUCCACCACCUACUCCAAACUUCCAAACGCCUAAACAGAAGUUAAAGAACUGCAUAACUCCUCCCUUUCCUUUCCCAUCUUUCUCUUCCUGAGGUGAAUCUGAGUGUUAAAACUUCAUUCUCCGGCGCUUCUUCUUCACGGAAAUCACCAGCCGGAUUCUUCGUGCUCAAGAAUCUCAAAUCUUCCCAGACGCCGACCUCAAUCUUCAUCCCGAUUCUCCUAAAACUACUGAUUCUACUCCGUCUUCCUGCAAUUUCUCAAUUUUCUUCUUUUAAUCCGAUUUUAGGGCAUGAAUUCGAUUUUAUGUUAUUAUAAUUGAUUAUUAGAACUAAUUUGGAAAUUUAUUUUGUUUUAAUUGAAGGGUAAGGUAAUGUCGGAAAUUAGAUCGGGUUUCUGGACGAUUAUGGAUAUGUCAAGCAGUCGUUAUCUCUGGAACUAUUUCUCUGCUGCUACAGCUAAGAGCUUGCCUUAAUUCUUUUUUAACACGAUAUAAUAUGUGUUGUUGUUGUCGUAGUUGUUGUUGGUGGAGGUGGUGAUGAUGUUUCUGAUAAUUUGAAGAAGAUACAUUGUUGGUAACUGUAACUAAGGCUAGUGAUCAUGAUGAUGAUGAUUGUUGGCGUUCUAUUCAAUUGAUGUAUUGCUGUAAUUUUCUACAACUUUGUAUGUAUAUACACUAAUACACUUGUUUGUACUGAUAUUUAAAUCGUUUGAUUUCCUACUUAUUUUGUGAUGUUUGCUUGUGUUUGUGCUUCUCUUUGUUUAUCUUGAUUUAGUAUUAGAGGAGGAUACAGAUGAGGUAAUUAAAGUAUGUGAGUUUUAGUUGUAAGUUAUUUCCUAUAAAUGUGGCUUCUCUAAAGCAAAUUCGAUAUGAGUACUAUGGUUAUUAUGGAUAUGUAAACUUUGAUGGUUGUGGUCUGGUUAAUUCAAACUGCGUAUCUUGUGACACUGCUCUUUCUUCUUUGGUUGUUCUUCCGCAUAUCUGUAUACUUUUCCUUCUGUUUUCUCUCAUGCUUGACAACCUUAUGCAGUCAAGCAUGUUUGCUCUGUAAUAUCUAGUCGCUGUAUCAAUGCUACAGUUGAAGGGUUAUUAUUUUUGUUGGUGAAGUGCUUGAUCAUUGUAAAGUUGCUGCAACUGUUCUAUGUUUUGACACAUAAGUUUUGUUUAGCAUCUUGUAAGGUUAGUUUGCAGUUAGAAAUUUUUCUUUGAGUAUGAGAAAGCACAUUCUUGCAAUCUCCGUUGCCCUUUCUAUUUCAAUAGUCUUAUCUGCAUACCUACAUGGCUACAUUCUGAUUUCUUCCGUGAAUUAAAUUGUAUGCACUGCAGAGAUGAUAUCUGAAAUAAAAGGGGAAUCAGAAAAUGGAAGGUUACCAACUGUUUCAGUUGUCAAAACAAAGCGGCCACUAUGGAGUUUGAAGACGCUCACUGAUUUCUUCUAGUCUAUUAGCAACUUCAUUGUAGUUUUUGUUACAACAACGUUUUCAAUGAGUUAUCUUAUGAGGAUGCCAAUAACUGCAAACUUCUAUUUUCUUCACCUGUGAAUUGUUAUUUGGUUCAAUGUUAAUGAAUCAAUAGUUGGAUAUAUUUCAAACUAUAGGAGUUUAGGAUUACUUGUGGAUUCAAUUCGUUAUCAUGCCCACAUUUAAAUAGUUUGCGCUAUCUUCUUUACCUCCAAUGCAACAAUCUUAUUCCUAUUUUGAUUUUGUUUUUCAGGCAAUUUUUUAAAAGUGGAUGCACUUUGGUUUGAUAAGGUAGAAAUGGAGAGAACAAUGAACGAGUGGAGCUCUCUACCCAAGUUGACACACUUACUGCAUCAAAUGAGGAGUUGAGAGUAUCAAAUGAGCAGCUUAAAGCAUCUAAUGAAGAGCUUAAAACAUCUAAUGAGGAGUUCAAAGCAUCGAAUGAGGAGCUUAAAGCAGAAUUUUCUAGAAUGAACAAGGAAGCUAUUGAACGUGAACAGAAACUGAGAGAAGAUAUGCUGAAAAUGUUCGAGGACAUGAGGAACAAUGGGUCAAGAAUAUCGUCCUAAUUUGGGUCGGGGAGAGCUCUUUGAAGUAUGAUUGAGCAUUCGAGUUUGUCGUAUAUGAACUCCUUAGACUACAACUAGUGUUAAGAAUUUAGUUAUUUCCAAACUUUUAGUUUAGAUGAUUACAGCUAUGCAUACGAUGAUAGAGUCACAUGUAUGAAUUUAUAUUUUUAUUUAUUUUAUUGUAUUUGGAUAAAUAUGUACUUGUUAUUCAAAAUUGUUUUUUAUGUCCAUC